UCUGUGUAAUUUGAUGAAUGUAACAGUAUGUAAGGAAUGAAAAUAGGAAAUAAAGCUUUUAUUAAUAAUAUGGAAGGUUCGAUACAGACUUGCAAANNNNNNNNNNNNNNNNNNNNNNNNNNNNNNNNNNNNNNNNNNNNNNNNNUCACUAACAAAGUGACCCCACCCAAAAUAACAGAAUUCUAGGAUAAAAAUCAUUAUUCUCUGACUCCACUAUAUAUAAACAUCCAUCACAUGCUUUUCCUUCAUUCCUGCGCCACGUCAUCAUUCACAUUUACCUUGCUUUUCUUUCUUUGAUAUACUCUCCAUACUCUUGGUUUGGGCCCUAUUUCAAGGCCCACCUCAUUCUGAUCCACAUUCCUAUCAAUGCCUUCCUCCUUAAAUAAAGCCUUGUCCUCAAGGCUAAAAGUAGGAAACUGUCCUUGCAGAAAUUCAUUGUCCUCCCAUGUGACAUCAUCCAUAGAUUUGUCCUUCCAUUUAAUCAAGCUUUGUUUUACUGUCACCCCUUCCUUGACUGUCAGCCGAGACCCUACCACUGCCUCAGGGUACACAGAUAUGUCAUCACUUACCUCCAUAUCUUUUGGUAAUUCCCCUUGUACUUGGUAGUCUCCCACAGCCUUCUUUAACAAGGACACAUGAAAAACUGAAUGUAUUUUAGACUGUGCUGGCAAUUGUAAUUGGUAAGCAACAAGCCCCACUUUAGCUAUAAUUUUAAAAGGACCAUAAAAACGUGCAGCAAGCUUUUGAUUAAUCCUUCGUACCACUGAUUGCUGCCUGUGAGGCCUUAGUUUAAGAAACACCCAUUCUCCAACUUCAAAGGAUAAGUCUCUUCUCUUCUUGUUUGCNNNNNNNNNNNNNNNNNNNNNNNNNNNNNNNNNNNNNNNNNNNNAGAUUUUAAAAGAUGAAGUUUAAGUUGUUGCAAAGCUUCGUCCCUGUCAGAAAGUUCCAUAGCCACAGCAGCCACCUUUGUCUCAUUGGAUAAAAACCUCAAUAUAGUGGGAGGAGGUCUGCCAUAAACAGCUUCAAAAGGAGUCUUACCAAUAGAGAUAUGGUAAGUAGAAUUAUACCAAUAUUCUGCCCAAGGAAUCCAUUGUGACCAAGAUUUUGGCUGAUCAGAAGCAAAACAUCGCAGAUAGCUUUCUAAACAUCUAUUUAUCACUUCAGUUUGUCCAUCCGUUUCUGGAUGGUAAGAUGAGCUCAUCUUCAAUUUGGUUCCCUGCAUCUUAAACAGUUCCAGCCAGAAAUGACUAACAAAAAUUGGAUCCCUAUCACUGAUGAGUGAUUUUGGAAUUCCAUGGAGGCGCACUACUUCUUUAGCAAAAAGUUCAGCAAUGGAUUUUGCUGUAUAUGGAUGCUUCAACAAGAUAAAAUGGCUGUACUUAGACAACCUAUCUACAACCACCAAUACAGCAUCAUAUCCUUUAGAUUUCGGAAGGCCAGUAAUGAAGUCUAAGGAUAAGUCUUCCGAGAUGGCAUUGGGAAUAGGCAGGGGCUGUAACAAACCACCAGGAGUAGUAGCAGAAUACUUCUGCCUCUGACAAGUGUCACAAGCUCUAACAAAGUUUCUUACACUUUUCUGCAUCCCUACCCAAUACAGAGUGUCUGCCAAUCUUCUAUAUGUUCGAAGGAAUCCAGAGUGACCCCCAGAUGGAGUACUAUGAAAUUCUUCUAACAAUAAAGGAAUGGAGGGAGAUUUGGAUGACAACACUAACCUGUCAUGAUAAAACAGCACACCAUGUUUGACAGCAAAACCAGGUUUAGCAUCAGGAUUCGUUUGUAAUUCUUGAAUCAGUUUUUGAAUUUCAGUAUCAUUAUGAACUUCAUCUAGUAGUUUCUUGCUAUCCACCCAUUGAGGAUAAGACAAUAAAGUCUUAAGCUCAAUAUCAUCAUAGCAUCUAGACAGUGCAUCAGCUGCCUUAUUCUCCAUGCCUGGCUUGAAUUUGACUUCAAAUUGAUACCCUAGUAACUUUGCUAGCCAUCCUUGCUGAUCAGGAGAGGUGAUACGUUGUUGGAGAAAAUGUUUGAGACUUUUAUGAUCUGUGUAAACUGUGAAUUGUUUACCCAAAAGAUAAUGCCUCCAAUGCUGAAUACACAAAACUAAGGCCAUCAAUUCCUUUUCAUAAAUUGAUUUGGCUAAGUUGCCUUCAGACAGAGCUUUGCUGAAAAAUGCUAUAGGUUUCCUCUGUUGCAUAAGCACUGCACCUAUUCCCCUGCCUGAUGCAUCACAUUCCACUUCAAAUGGUAUUUCAAAAUUGGGAAGUACUAGAACAGGAGGUGAUGUCAUAAUUUGUUUCAGAACAUUAAAAGCAAUUGUAGCUUCUGACCCCCACACAAAGCUAUCCUUCUUAGUCAAUUCAGUCAAAGGUUUAGCUAGUUUUCCAUAAUUUCUGAUGAACUUCCUAUAGUACCCUGUCAAACCAAGGAAACCCCGUACUCCCUUGACAUUUUUUGGUUCAGGCCACUCUAACAUACAUUUGAUUUUUUCAGGGUCUACAGAAACUCCUUCUCCUGAUAUAAUGUGUCCAAGAUAAUCUAUCUGUUUACAGCCAAACUUACACUUAGCCUUAUUUGCUACAAAUUGGUUUGACAACAAAAUAGAGAGGACUUGAUGCAAAUGUGUCUGGUGUUCUUUCACAUUCUUACUAUAUAUCAAAAUGUCAUCAAAAAAUACCAGGACAAAUUUUCUCAAAAAAGGUCUGAAGAUGUCAUUCAUGGUGGAUUGAAAAGUGGCUGGAGCGUUCAUUAGUCCAAAAGGCAUGACUAAAUACUCAUAGUGGCCGUUGUGUGUUCUAAAAGCUGUUUUGUGUAUGUCAUCAUCAUGUACUCUAAUUUGGUGAUAACCAGAUUUAAGGUCUAUUUUGGAAAAAAUAUUUGAACCAUACAACUCAUCAAGCAACUCAUCUACUAUGGGAAUAGGGUACUUAUCUGGAAUUGUUGCUUUAUUUAGAGCUCUAUAAUCCACACACAUCCUCCAACUCUUGUCUUUCUUUUUCACCAGAAUCACAGGGCUUGAAUAUUCACUCAUACUUUGUCUGAUCACACCAGCAUUGAGUAACUCAGCUACUUGUCUUUCUAUUUCCUCCUUUUGAUGGUGAGGGUAUCUAUAUGGCCUGACAUUAAUUGCUCCAUGACCGGGAAACAAUUUAAUGUGAUGCACUUGAGAUCUUUCCGGAGGUAAUUGAAUUUCAUCCUUGAAGACUUCAUGAAAUUGCUGCAGAAUCUCUUCUAAAUCAGAAGGUAUUUCACUUGAACUUUCUUUCUCUGUUUGUUGCAGAGACCACCACAUCUCAGCACCCAUCUUACACUGUUUGUCUUCUAAGAAGGUAUUUAAAUAGCCUUCAGGUUUGCUACCCUGUCCUUGUAAUUUCACCUCCUUUUUGUCCUGCCAAAACUGCAUAGACAAGGUUCUCCAAUCCAUCACCACUUUGCCCAGAGUACUCAACCAAGCAACUCCCAGCACCAUAUCUAAACCUCCCAACUCCAGUACCAGCGCAUCUACCACCACCUCCAAAGGUCCCAGUUGAAUUUUGACUCCCUUACACAUUCCCUUAGAAACAAUUUUGUGACCGUCACCUAAUUUGAUAGAUUUUUCUGCUAUUGGAGAAACACUCAAACCUAACGCAGUAGAAAUUUGAGGUGAGAUGAAAUUGUGGCUUGCUCCACUAUCAAUGAGUACCAACACAUCCACAUCUUCCACCUUCCCUUCAAUCUUCAUCGUGCAAUAGCCAUUCAUGCUUCCCAGCACUCCAAGAGACUUACACUCUACCUCAACUUCUUCCUCCUCCUCAGACACCUCUUCCUCUAGAGAAAUAAUUUCUCCAUCCUCAUUCAUCGUCUCGCCCUCACCCAGAAUCAGAACUCGAAGAGCCUUCUCUGGACAUUUAUGCAUCGUCGGAUGCCACCGUUCUCCGCAUUUGAAACAAAGACCCUUAGCACGCCUUUCUACGAUUUCAUUGUUUUGAAAACUCCGGACGCCCUUCCAAGGACCGCUUCGUCCUGUGGAAGCCAUUGAAGAACUGGAAUUUGAGUUAGAUCCCGUCGAUCCCAAUUUCUGAUUUAGGUUUGACAAACCCGAAUUAGCGGGUCGGUUCGGGUUAGGCCCAUAUCUCCCUUUAUUCAUUGACCCGGCCCACUCAUUUUUAAUUCCACGAUCUUGCACCCCCUUUUUACUCAUACCCCUCCCUUCAUCUUCAUCAACUUCUUUCAAUUCAUCUUCGACGUCCUUCGCGAUUCUCAUCAUCUGCAUACGACUUAAAGGAUUCAAGGUACGAACCCUCCGUCGAAUUUGUGGUUUCAAACCACUCAUAAAAUACCCCAAAUAUUGUUCCUCAGGGAGUCGACCCACUUGAGACGAUAACAACUCAAACGCCUCAACGUAUUCCUCCACACUCCCACUCUGCUUCAGCGAUGCUAGCUCCUCAAACGGAUUUUCCAGCCUACGGCCUCCAUAUCGUGCAAUUAACGCCCUUUUUAAUUUCUCCCAAGUCAGAUCAUCCUCUGUUUCACGCAAGAGAUUGAACCAGUGAAUGGUUGCUCCCUCCAUGCUUAAUCGCGCUAGCUUAACACGCAUUUCAUCCAUAGUGUUCUGAACGUCAAAAUAGAUCUCAGCCCUCGUGAUCCAAGCGACUGGAUCUUCUCCGUCAAACACCGGUAACUUGACUUUCUUUCCAGACAAACGCGAUUCCCCCUGUGANNNNNNNNNNNNNNNNNNNNNNNNNNNNCACCAACAGAGUUCACGCUUCCGCCGAAAUUCACCUCUCUCAAUGAACCAAACUGUUUGCUCAGUUCACUCAAGAACUUGCUCUGGUCAAGCAUCUGUUGUGAGAAUUUUUCGCCCUGAUCGUUUAAUUGCUUAGCGAAUUUCUCAAGUGUAACUUGAACGUUCAUCACUUGUUCUUCCAACACAUCGAUACGAUCUCCCAUUGUUGGUUUAGAACUCUUCUUUGGCAUCUACGAAUGGUUAUAAUGGUGAAUAAUUGAUCCGGUAGGUCGGACCAAUUGAUAGAUCUCUGUGUAAUUUGAUGAAUGUAACAGUAUGUAAGGAAUGAAAAUAGGAAAUAAAGCUUUUAUUAAUAAUAUGGAAGGUUCGAUACAGACUUGCANNNNNNNNNNNNNNNNNNNNNNNNNNNNNNNNNNNNNNNNNNNNNNNNNNNNACUAACAAAGUGACCCCACCCAAAAUAACAGAAUUCUAGGAUAAAAAUCAUUAUUCUCUGACUCCACUAUAUAUAAACAUCCAUCACAUGCUUUUCCUUCAUUCCCGCGCCACGUCAUCAUUCACAUUUACCUUGCUUUUCUUUCUUUGAUAUACUCUCCAUACUCUUGGUUUGGGCCCUAUUUCAAGGCCCACCUCAUUCUGAUCCACAUUCCUAUCA
rnacentral:lncRNA from 1 species